rnacentral:rRNA from 1 species
AUCUACGGCCAUGCGACCAUGAACAAGCCCGAUCCCAUCUGAUCUCAGAAGCCAAGCAGGGUCGGGGCUGGUUAGUACUUGGAUGGGAGACCGCCUAGGAAGACUAGGGGCAGUAGGCG